CAGGGAACUGCAGCCUCCUUCACCUCGUCCUGCGCAACAUCCACGAUCUCCACCUUCCCAGCUGGACACAAGCUUUAGCUCCCCUGAUUACAAGGACCAGGGCUCUGACGACAUACUGUACCUCCAACAUCCACCAAAUCAAGUCUGGAGUCUUGAGUUCGACUCAACCACAUCUUAAACAAACCGUGAUCAGUGGACCCAACGGAAGUAUACUGUGCAUGGAGUCCAAGAUCAUGGAUCUCAUUAAGCUUAUCCAAAAGUGUUGGUCUGCCAUAAUCAACACCAGCAAAAUAUUAAAAGGAAGACAAAUCGAGAUCAACUGGCAGAGCGCAUCAAAGGAUGUAUGGGGAGUUGGGAAUCUUGCCCGAAUGUUAGAAGGAUGUCACAGGCUAAUGUAGUUGCACCGUCUUCAGUGCUGUUCACUGCUGAUACUUUCACAGACAUAAAUUACUAGGCUGAACUAUGUCCAAUACAGUUCCCUUCACAAACAACACAAAACAAACAACUUUUUAGUCCUCUUACUUCCUACCCGUCAUAACCCAGGAUUACAGACAGACUGAAGCAGGAAAAGAUCAUUUCCACUAUGGUUCAGGAUGGAAAUGAAGGCAAAGCUGUGCACAUCUGUGGUGAUGGAAGGAAUGACAGCCCUGGCUGGCUACUCCGCUAAAUUUAAGACAUAUAGCUUCAUGGAUGACAAGACCAAGAAAGUAAUUCAAGCUAAUGUGAUUUCGGUCACUGAAGCCACCAGGUCAAUUUCAAGGACUGAACAGCAUACUGACAGAGGGUGUACCUGUAGCGUUUAUAACUACUCUUGUUCACCAGGGCUGGCACAGUUAUCGUAUAAUCGUGUAACAGACAAUUAUGGACAAUAAAC